GAUUAGCCACUCGUUGCCUGAUCCUCACACGGCACCCUGAUCUUUUUCCGCAAAAUCUCUGUUUCCUUCUCCAGCGAAGGCUGGGGAUCUGGGCCUGGUCGGAGGUCUGUAGUAUCUCCCUCCUGUCCGACUCAUUGAAGAAAAACUCUUAGUCUAAUCUGGAGGUGAGUAAUCGCAGUUCUGAUGUCCAGAAGCUCUUGUCGGUCAUACUACUCUAUAUUGCUUGUCCUCGUGUGCCCGUUCAUGUUUUUCAGCAUAAAGAACUCUGCAGCCACUUUGUGUGGACACCAGGUUAUAUCAGCCUUGUCUGUGAACCCCUCCUGCAUCUGAACUUGCUACAUAGAGUGCACAGAAUGAUCAGAGGUAUGUUUUGAUGUGAGAGAGGAUGCCAACCCCCAGUCCAGUCAUCGCCACCUCACCCGCUCUUAAAAUAAUAGUGUCUCUACUCAGCCCCAAAGGUUAUGUCAUUGUGAUGAACUGAGAGAAUAUUAGGGUAGCACUGUGAUUCGUUAAUCAUAUGCUGUCUUCCCUGCUCCUCUGUUCUUACCUCUUUCCCUUUCUGUCUUUUACACCUCCCUUGCCACCUCUUUCUUCCUCUGUUUUUAUAAUGCACAACAGAUGUCCAUUGAAGUAAAGAUUGAACUUGUAUUUAUAAUAUAAUAUUACAAUUAUAAUAUUUAUAAUGCAUGUAUUUAUAACACUUGGAUAAUUAACUUCUUUCAAUAAAGCAUUUCACAUUCUCUACUGGUUGAAAUUAAGUCUCUCAUUUGAUGAA